rnacentral:RNase_P_RNA from 1 species
GAAGCUGGCUAGACAGUCGCCGCUCACCUAGUGUGGGGGGAGGAAAGUCCGGGCUCCGCAGAGCAGAAUGACGGCUAACGGCCGUACGUCGUGAGACGAGGAAUAGGGCCACAGAGACGAGCGUAUUCAGUUACGGUGAAACGCGGUAACCUCCAUUCGGAGCAAAGCCAAAUAGGGUAGCGAUAGCGUGGCUCGCGCUGCUACCGGGUAGGCUGCUUGAGCGCAUGAGUAAUUAUGCGCCUAGAUGAAUGACUGUCAGGCGUAGCAAUACGUCACACAGAACCCGGCUUAUCGGCCAGCUUCACUU